UGAGUCGGUCAGACGGUCGCGUCAGGGUCCUUGCCUUCGGGACGGGGCACCUGCCGAGGAACGUCCGGGCUCCACAGGGCGAGGUGGUGGCCAACAGCCACCCGGAGUGAUCCGCGGGACAGUGCCACAGAAAGCAGACCGCCUCGGCGAACCACCGGCCUCGGCCGGAAGGCGCCGCGGUAAGGGUGAAACGGUGGUGUAAGAGACCACCAGCGCCCCCGGUGACGGGGGCGGCUAGGUAAACCCCACCUGGAGCAAGCUCAGACAGCAGGCGUUCGAGGGCGGCCCGCCCGAGCCUGCGGGUAGGGCGCUGGAGCCGGUCAGCAAUGACCGGCCUAGAUGGAUGACCGUCACCCCACCACCGCGGUAACGCAGGUGGGGGACAGAACCCGGCGUAUCGACCGACUCAUCCA
rnacentral:RNase_P_RNA from 1 species